AUGCCCGUGCAGUUGAAGAUAUUUGCAGGCCAGCCUAUGAUGUCAGGUUGGAGGCCUACCUAUGAUGUCAGGUCCCGCCGAUUCUGGAAACAUGUUCAAUUCUGCAGCUAUAGCAUCCUAUAUUUCGUGAUACAUGUUCAAUUCAGUGAUGACAGCUAUAUCAUCCUAUAUAUUCUUUCGCUUGCAUGGUUCCCUUCCAUUGAUGUUGUAGCUGUUGCAUCACUGGAAGGUGGAUCAGGGUGCACUGUUGAUUUUGAUUGGCCCGAGAGAAAUCAGGACACUGCGACAGGCAACCUUUUGCUUACUAACCUCAAAAAUAUUUGA
rnacentral:rRNA from 1 species